rnacentral:lncRNA from 1 species
AUUGCUUUCUCCGUUGUCUAGGUACCAAACAUUAGCACAAUCUGAAUGAGCUUCAAACUUUCUUGGUACGACAUUCUUCUCAUUGAGGAAAACCACCUCGUGCAUCAUCAACUCCUCUGCUUCCCGUGUGCUUUCAUUAUCAGUUUCUUGUGUUUCUUGGAGUUUAUGCUUUAGAUCAGGGCAAUCGUAUACAUAAUGUCCAUUUUUGUCGCACCGAUAACAUACUAUACGAGAUGCAUCUCUUCCUUGUCUCCAA